CCUGUGAAGAGUCAUAUCAAAUGGAAGUAGCUUAUGCAAAACCAGACUUGUUGAAGCAGGAA
rnacentral:ncRNA from 1 species